AACGUUCCGAAAGGGAUGCUAAUACGCCAUAAGCACACAGAGGUUAGAGGCUCGGUGUGAAAAAGGACAUCGGAAGGUGAUCCGUUUCAGGAGGGGACUGCGGCCCAUCAGCUAGUUGGUGAGGUAGAAGCCCACCAAGGCGAAGACGGGUAGGGGGCCUGAGAGGGUGGUCCCCCACACGGGCACUGAGAGACGGGCCCGACUCCUACGGGAGGCAGCAGUAAGGGAUAUUGCACAAUGGGCGCAAGCCUGAUGCAGCAACGCCGCGUGCACGAGGAAGGCCUUCGGGUCGUAAAGUGCUUUUCGGGGAGAAGAGGAAGGACGGUACCCCCGGAAUAAGUGUCGGCUAACUACGUGCCAGCAGCCGCGGUAAAACGUAGGACGCGAGCGUUAUCCGGAGUUACUGGGCGUAAAGGGCGGGUAGGCGGCUAGUCAAGUUGGAUGUGAAAUCUCCUGGCUAAACUGGGAGGGUGCAUUCGAAACUGAGUAGCUAGAGGACAGCAGAGGGUCGUGGAAUUCCGGGUGGAGUGGUGAAAUGCGUAGAGAUCCGGAGGAACACCAGAGGCGAAAGCGGCGACCUGGGCUGUAGCUGACGCUGAACCGCGAAAGCCAGGGGAGCGAACGGGAUUAGAAACCCCGGUAGUCCUGGCCGUAAACGAUG
rnacentral:rRNA from 1 species